GACGCACGCUGGCGGCGUGCCUAAUACAUGCAAGUCGAGCGCAGGAAAUCGACGGAACCCUUCGGGGGGACGUUGAUGGAAUGAGCGGCGGACGGGUGAGUAACACGUAAAGAACCUGCCCUCAGGUCUGGGAUAACCACGAGAAAUCGGGGCUAAUACUGGAUGGGUCAUCGGACCGCAUGGUCCGAGGAUGAAAGGCGCUUCGGCGUCGCCUGGGGAUGGCUUUGCGGUGCAUUAGCUAGUUGGUGGGGUAAUGGCCGACCAAGGCGACGAUGCAUAGCCGACCUGAGAGGGUGAUCGGCCACACUGGGACUGAGACACGGCCCAGACUCCUACGGGAGGCAGCAGUAGGGAAUCUUCCACAAUGGACGAAAGUCUGAUGGAGCAACGCCGCGUGAACGAUGAAGGCCUUCGGGUCGUAAAGUUCUGUUGUAAGGGAAGAACAAGUGCCGCAGGCAAUGGCGGCACCUUGACGGUACCUUGCGAGAAAGCCACGGCUAACUACGUGCCAGCAGCCGCGGUAAAAC
rnacentral:rRNA from 1 species